CCAUUCUUAUCUCGGAUAAAGCAAAGCCUGCGCGCAAAACUGUGCGUUCUGCCAAGCAACUAGUGUACAAGUAACCUGAAAGACCAGAUCAGGCCGGUCUACGAAUGAAUAAAUAUAUCCUAUUAGACAUAAAGAGGAUUGCACAGGUUUCUAGAUUAUACCGUCUGUGAGAACGGAGCCUCGAUUUAUCAGACAGCUUUAAUGUUGCCUCUGGGACAUAUUUGGUAAGUGAGCGAGGCCGCUGGCUCCUGCUGAGGUCUGCAGUACGUGUUUAAGGGGAUGGACACGUGCACAAAGACUUUUAUCUACCAGAGGGAUGGGUGGCCACCUCUCCCAUAUCAACUGCAGAGGGUGAAGGCAAACAUGUGCUUCCUCGUGUUUCCUCCAAGAUACCCGUCACCAGCCAACUGCAUCUUUUCAAACUCCUGCUCAUGCUCCAUCACAAGGUAGUGUAGUGGAACACACUCAGAGGAAAGUGCUAUCUGCCCUCUUCUGCAUAUGGGAGCUCACCAGUAUCUAUGAUUGGUUAGUGUCGCUGUACUUGCCAGGGAAGACACGUGGAUAUUUCUCUCUGGAGCAGGUGCUGUGACUGUAUUGAUACAACAAUUUUUAUUGCAAAUGAUAUUACUGACAACAACUUCAGUGAAAGUAGAAUCUUUGAAAUAUUUACAUGGAUGUUUCUUAGUAUUUUGUAUGUCCUUUUUUUUGCUUUAGUACCAGUGUGCACUGGAGCUGACAUGGACUCCACAAGUUUGUGCAAAACCUUAUGAUCAAUUUUAGAUCAAAUCCUUUAAAUUGUUGUCUAAAAAUGUGCUUCAUUAGAAGAGAUUAGAUAUGAGGAAAAUCUGACUUUUUAUUUUUUAUUUUUACAAAGCAGUUAACAUGGUCACUAUCACAAAUCUGUAUAUAAAUAGGGACCUGGAAAUAGUGCAGACUCUUGAAUAUUAAAUAUUCAAGAUAUUGAACAUUUACUUUCUUUGUUUUGAAUAUUUCAAAAUUCUUAAACAUUGUUGAACCUGAACGUGUUUAUUUCAGAAACAUUUUUACACAAACAUUUUCAAUGUUUGCCAUUCUGGUACUUCCUCUCCAUACUGUAAAAUAGGAGUGUUCAACUUUAUCUGGAACCGGCUGGUGUUGUUGCAGGUUUUCAUUCCAACCAAGCAGGAGCCGCCCCUGAUUCCACCUGUUUAAUCAGCCGAUCUUGGCCUUAACUCAACUGUCAGGUGUGGCUCCUGCUUGGGUGGAUUGAAAACCUCCAGACACAUCAACCCUUUGACUUUAAGUUUGGACACAUCUGCUGUAAAAUAACUAUGGAUAUAAUGUUAACAAAAAUACAGACAAAACAAAAAUACUGUACCUUUUUGUACUGUACUCCUAUAAAAUGCACUUAUCCUAAGGAAAAAUAUAAGGGGAGAUAUUACGGGGAGGUCAACAGAACUUGUACAAAUGACACAACUCAAUUCCCAAUAAUUAUUUGUGUAGCUGUAACUUUAAAAUAGAAAUUUGCCCUGGGUCACUAACAUGGGAAUGGGUGGGGUUAAAAAAUGCUACUGCAUCCAGCCUCAGAGACACUUUGGCUUCACUUUUGACUCCCUGUUACGACAUCCACCCACAUAGAGUCACUGGUUGGGCUACGUCACACCACCACGUCAUUGAUUGUUUCCCUCCUAUUGUGUUUUUAUUCCUGAGCACAUGCAUGCAUUGUUUAGGGCUGCUAAGAAUCUGAAUUAACUAGGCCAUUUUGUCUACAACUGUUAGUUAACUGCUCUAGUCGACUAGAUUAAACAAUUUAUUUUACUCUAAGUUCAACUGAAUAAGCUUUUCUGUAUUAGUGUAGUCACUAAUACAUACAGGGGGGAUUAGUGGUUAGCACAGAUGGACUUUACAAUCAUUUUGGGAAGAAAAGUCAUUGAAGCUAGUCAGAAUUUACGGACAUAUAAGAAACUCCAGGUUAUGGCAUAUUAGUCCUUUUUCAUUCACUUUUUUCAUUUAAAUUUCAUACAUUACGCUGUGCUGUUCUCUGCAGGAAACGAAAAAAAACUAGAGAUGCACCGAUGCAUCGGCCAAUAAUCGGUAUCGGCUGAUAAAGGUAAUUUUUCACGCUAUGGGCCAUCGGCGAUAGUUUAAACACAUCCAAUGAUCAGGGACAAUUAUAUCCUGUCAAUCAAAACAGGGCAGGAAAACACAUGGAAUUUGUGCUGCGUGUAGAGAUGUCUCUUGUGUGGAAUGACUUUGAAUUGGGUGACAUUGAUGACAAAACCGCAGUUUGUAAGCUCUGCACUGCUAAAAUUUUACACCGCAUUCUGCAUCAGAGCAGAAGCUGUGUGUAUUUUUUUGGCGUGCAUGUUAACGAAGGAGUGCUUUUACACUGGACACUGCAGCAGUGAAGCGGGAGAUUCGGCAUUGAGUCCAUUUUUUUUUUUUUUUGCAGUGCUGCUUGAGCUGCUCGUGCUGAAUUAAAGUGGUGGGGGGAAAAAGGGUAGACUAUAUAUUGCACAGAAAAAUAUAUUUGUAGAGUAGUACGUUUCAUAUCCAGUUAAUGUUAAUGAGUUAAUAUCAUCAAAAAAAGCUGAUAUUAUAUAUUACCUGUUUGAUGUUCAGUGAUGAAGUACAAAUGAUUUUGUUUGUGGCAUAAAAGAAGAAUAUAAGGCAGAACUAGAAGGCAUAAAAGGCAGAACUAUCGGUAUUGGUAUCAGCCAAUAUCACGCUGAAUUAUAGGUUAUCGUAUCGGCUGAGAAAUUUAGUAUCGUGCAUCUCUUUAAAAAAAACCCUUUGAUUCUGUUACAUAUUUUAAAGGGAAAUAUAUUUCAAUAUUAAGGAGAACGAAUGCAAGUCUAUAGACAACACUUACAGGGAGUCUGCACUACUAGACUUCUCUUUCACUGAUCCACUUCUGAACACAGACCUGGCAAACCUUCCACCUGACAUGAAAUCACAUGCUUGUGGGGAAAAAAAGGGCUGUAUCUGAAACUAGCUGUAGCUGUAUCUGUAACUGAAAGACUCAUUUUUAAUAAGCCUAAUAAUUCUUUGCAAGAACAAGACUGGAUGUGAUAAAUGUGUGGCCAUGGAGAGUAAUAUGAAGAGAAAAACAGGACAGUAAAGCUUUGCAGGAUUUACAUCUUAUAGAGCAUGGUUCAUGUACAUGUGAGAAUAAACUCACCUGACAUGACGAAUCACAGCUAUUACAGUACAGGCCAAGUAAAACAAAUAUGUGAUAUACUGCUCGCUGUUGUACACAUAAUGUAAUUUUUCAUGUGCUGUAAAUGCUUUCUGUGAAAACAUAUCAAAUUCACAUUUCAGUGCAUUUCAACACAGAAAUAUUUUUCAUGGCGCAUUAGAGCAAAGCUACAUCUCCAUUGGUUAAUGAUUCGUACAGUAUAUUAUCAUAGGUAUGGUACACGACAACACUUUAAAUACACACUUGUGACAACUAGCUUUAUUCUUCUUAGAUUUUCCAUUUACACUUCCAAAUGAUAUAAUUGCAUAAUUAUAUAUUUAAGCAAAUUCCUUUUCUUUUUAAAUACAUGCUUAUUAAUUCUGUCGAAGUGAUGACAUUUGGUAGAAAAGAAAAACAUGCCCUCAAACUAUAAUUCACACAGUACAGCGAUCUGUGACAAAAGGUUACAGUGACACAAAACAAACCAAACAAUACACAACGAAAACAGAGAAAGCUUUAAAUAAAGCCUGUAAUGAGCUAUUCAUUUAAAAAAACAAACACAAGGUUAAACAAUGUGUCUUUUAUGUGUACUGCUCAGCUUUCAGCAUCAUAGGAACACCUCACUUUCAUAUCAACACUCACUUCAAGUUUGAGGAAGCUAAAAUAUAUUUUAACCCCAAAUACUCUCUUUCUAAUAAAUAAAGAAAUAAUACAAGAGACUACUACAUGUGUGUGUGUAUCUGCUAGCUAAUAUUUAAGGUGCAAGAAUUCUCAGUAACUAAAACAGAGUAGCUUCCACUUUCACAGAGCAGAACUUACAUCUCAAAAAGCAACACAAAUGAACACAAGAGUCACUGAUCAAAUUUAUCAGCAGGCUAUGUUUCUAUACAAACAACUGCAGG